rnacentral:lncRNA from 1 species
CUCUCAUUUUGCCUCAAAUGAUAGUAAAUGAUUCCGUCGGCAUUUUUCCAUGUUGUAAUUAUAUUUUUUGCUUGGUAUGUGAAGUGACCUUUUAAAGUACAUUUCGUACAAUGUACGAGCAAAUCAAGACGGAUGCCUCAUGUGAAGCAAGAUAUGCUCACACUUCCGGAGGGAUUCAGAUCAUCACCCAGUUUUCGGUGGGGUUCAUUUUGUUCAGUCUACGAUUUUCUCUGUUGCGGUUUGUGUAAACUGUUGAUUGAACACAAG